rnacentral:rRNA from 1 species
UACAGAGGGGGCAAGCGUUGUUCGGAAUUACUGGGCGUAAAGGGCGCGUAGGCGGCCCUCUAAGUCGAACGUGAAAUCCCCGGGCUCAACCCGGGAACUGCGUCCGAUACUGGAAGGCUUGAAUCCGGGAGAGGGAUGCGGAAUUCCAGGUGUAGCGGUGAAAUGCGUAGAUAUCUGGAGGAACACCGGUGGCGAAGGCGGGUCUCUGGGCCGUAACUGACGCUGAGGAGCGAAAGCGUGGGGAGCGAACAGG